GGUGGGAUGGCCGAGUGGCUGAAGGCGCACGCUUGGAGAGCGUGUAACCCCCACAAGGGGUUCCAGGGUUCGAAUCCCUGUCCCACCG
rnacentral:tRNA from 1 species